CACGUAGGGGGCAAGCGUUGUCCGGAUUUAUUGGGCGUAAAGAGCUCGUAGGUGGUUCGGUAAGUCGGGUGUUAAACCCCCAGGCUCAACCUGGGGACGCCACUCGAUACUGCUGUGACUAGAGUCCGGGUAGGGGAGCGUGGAAUUCCUGGGUGUAGCGGUGAAAUGCGCAGAUAUCAGGAGGAACACCAGCGGCGAAGGCGGCGCUCUGGGCCGGUACUGACACUGAGGAGCGAAAGCGUGGGUAGCAAACAGG
rnacentral:rRNA from 1 species